UCCAGGACUACCUGGCUUAGGAUAUCAGCUCUUCAUUCCGCAUCCUGCUAUUCCUUGGUCUGUUGGCACAACAGCAGGCUAGCCUCUUAUGUGAGCGUUGCAGAGGUGAUCAUGGCAGGCUCGUGAAUAGCUCCCUUCGCGCACGGUGCCGUGAGUGAAAGCGCACGCUUAAGCGAUGCCCUGACCGCGAGGAUGGCAUCACGUUUGCUCUGGUUGAAGUUAUCUCCUGAUGRUGCCUAACUGGAAGCUGAGCUCUGACGAGAACCUGGCCCUGGCUGAAUGGCAGAAUUGCUCACCUAAGGGAGGAGUUGCAGUGAAUGUAUAUCAUCCCUACGGACACAUGUCCUGGGAGGGGGAAGGCUGCUGGUGCGAGAUCAUCUUCUUUCAGAGGACAACAAACUGGGCUGUGAGACUGUGAUCCAAAUGCAGAUGAGAUAACUGGCAAGAYCUGAGUUCCUGCUUCAGGACCUUGCGUAUCCUCCCUGCCUUCAGGAUCCAGGUGUCACAGGUUAGAGCUGAUCCUCCUGAAAUCGAAUGGGAUUUCCUUGUUCAUAAGACCAAUGGUAGGGUUGACCACAAGGAUCCAAAACUUACAGAUGUUCUCAUGCUUUGAUUUGCAGGACAGGUAGUGUUAACGUUAUUUUCCAUGGAGAUGGAAGGUUCUAAGUGUUUAUAGUAUCAGGCCCAUGGUUUGCUUUCCAGUUCAGACUGSGGCC
rnacentral:lncRNA from 1 species